ACUUAUAUAGUUUAUAUAAAACCUCUCAUUUUCAAUGAGAAAAAAGAAAAUUCUUAUAAGUU
rnacentral:tRNA from 1 species